AGGGGAGAGGUGCCGUACUGGCCAUAUCAGCACCCGCGCCCCCUCUCCCUCCCAUCGCCCUCCCCUUUUUCGCUCUGCGCGUGCGUGUUUGUGUAGGGUGGGCGGAUUGGUGGAGAGUUGGGUCAGUGGGUGGGUGUGUACAUCGCUUCCACAUACGUCCACAUUGUUCUUGUUUCAUCCUUGAUUCUUGCCUGCCGCUAUACUGAGUUGUGGCCCCUCCCACCCCCCUCCCUCCCUCUCUCCCGCCCAUCAUGCACUCGCAAAGACCAUGUGCCGGCUGCAACGCCCGCUGCCAGCACGACCGAAGCGCGUUGCCGUCCCUGAUGAGUCAGCAGGACGAAAGUUUCACCGGCAGCAGCCCGCGCACGGCCUCAGUACACAGUGAGGCGCGGCCACAUUUCAAGGGGCGCUUCCCCUUCGCCACGGCGGCAUCCUCGCUGUCAGAGCACUUCGACGGCGCCAACCUCUACUCCGGCGCCGGUGCUACCAACACGCGCGACAACUUUAGGGUGGCGGUGCGCGUGCGCCCACCUCUGCACCGCGAGCUGCACGGCUACCGACCCUUCGUCGACGUGGUUCAGAUAGCACCAGAGCACCCCAACUCCAUCACCCUCUGCGAUGCUCUGGACACGGAGGACGGUCGGGGGGCGGUGUACUCGCGCCAGAGCUACACGUUCGACCGCGUCUACGCGGCCGACGCAACGCAGGAAGACGUAUACGAGCUGAGCGCGCGGCCAGCAGUCCUAUCGGUGCUAGAGGGCUACAACGCCACGCUCAUGGCGUACGGGCAGACGGGCACAGGCAAGACGUACACAAUGGAGGGCUUCACCAACGAGGAGGAGCGCGGCAUUAUUCCUCGCGCCGUCGAAGAUGUCUUUGUGCACAUAAGGGAGAGGCGCCGCACCAGCGAGGACACAAAAUUCCUCGUGCGGGCCUCCUACAUGCAAAUCUACAACGAGGUCAUCUCGGACCUGUUGGAGCCGCCGGCCACGGCGUUCGCUGCCGGCAGCGGCAGCGGCGGCGCCAGUCGCAGCAGCAGCCUCACCGUGCGCCACACACCCCAGCGCGGCGUCUACGUCGAUGGCUUGUCGGAGUGGAUCGUGCGCACCCCAGAGGACGUGUACGGGCUCAUCGCGAAGGGCACGGCGCUGCGGGCGACCAGUGCCACGAAGCUGAGCGAGUUGUCCUCCCGCUCGCACGCCAUCUUCACAAUUGUCGUGGAGGCGAUGGAGGGCGACGAGGCGAAUCCGCUCUCCUACCGCUUUGGCAAGCUGAACAUUGUCGACCUGGCCGGCAGCGAGAAAAUCCGCCUGGCCGGGGUCACGGGGCAGAGACUGGAGGAGACCAAGAACAUAAACAAGUCGCUGCACGAGCUUGGCAACGUCAUUUCUGCCUUGGCCGCCAAGCCUGGCGCACACGGCCGUCGAGUGCAGCGGCACAUCCCGUUCCGCAACUCCGCCCUCACGAGCGCGCUGCGAGACUCACUUGGCGGCAACUGCAAGACGACGCUGAUCGCGUGCAUUUCACCGGCGUUGGAGUCGUACGCGGAGUCUCUCUCCACGCUCAUGUUCGCCAAUCGCGCCAAGAACAUUCAGAACCACGCCGUGGUGAACGAGGGCAUGAGCCAGGCAACGCUGCUCAGGGCGUACGAGCAGGAACUGCAGCGACUGCGGCAGCAGCUGCAGGAACGCACGGAGAUGGAUAGCGGUGACGGCAAUGGGCUCAUGAGCUCGACUGACACCCAUUUGCUGCUUUCCGAAUUGGAGGAGGACCGACGGCGUGCGGAGGCGGACCGGCAGGCGGCUCUUGCGGCGCUUGAGAAAUCUUCGGUGGCACAUCAGGAAGAGAUGCGUGCGCGCCAGGAGCUGGAGAGUCGCAUACGCGAGCUAGAGGCCAUCAUGCGGGAGGGUGGCAUGGAGGGCAACCCGCGCACCAGUCAGGAGUACGCGGAGCGGCUUCUCGAGCUGGACAGGGAGCGUCAGGCCGUGGAGGAGGACAAGGAGCAGGUGGAACGCUACAAGCACCUGCUGCUGAAGCAGCGCGACAUCAUGCUGAGCCUCACCACCCGACUGAACGACCGCGACGAGACGAUCCUGCUUCUCCAAGAGGAAGUCGACGCCUACGACCAGCACGUGCAGACGCUGGAGGAGGAGCUGGAGCUGUUGGCACGGCAAGGCAACGCAGAGCGGCGGGCCACCUCACCGCCGCCGUCCUCGACCGCGAUGAUGGUUGUGAACCCGCAGCUCGUCGGGAACGCGAGUGAGGCGCAGGCAGCAGAGUACAUCUACCAAAGGCGCGUGCAGUCCCCGUCGUCGGAGGCUGGCGCGCGGGCCGGUACGCCACAGAGAUACCGAUCCUUCCUUCAACCGAGCCGCACUGUUACCGCGGAGGAGCUCGCCGUGGAGCUGGUCAUGCUACAAGGCCGCAAAGACGCCGUCGCGGUGGCUGCUUCGGGCAAAGACAGGAGCGGAUCAACCGAUGGCAGCCUCUUCAACGACGCGGAGCUGACUCUUAUCCUGCAGCAGCGCGCCGACUCGAUUUUGCACGCGCAUUACAACGCGCAAGUGGCGCAGCUGCGCUCCACCGUGGCGGCGCUGACCCUUCAACUGCGCAACAGCGAGGACAGGGCGCACAUCGCCGACAAAGAGGCGCGCCUGCUGGCGCAUCGACUAAGCAGUGGACAGGAUGGCGCCACCAUGGAUGCGCUGCAGCGAGAACUGCGAGCGGAGUGGGACUCGCGCCGCAAAGCCUACGUCAGCACGAUGAACGAGGUGCGAGACGCCGUUCGUGCCGACACGGCAGAGAGGGCGCGGCUUGGGCGCGAGAUCGACCGCGUCCGCGUGGAAGUGCAGCACAUGCUUGAGACAGCGUCCUCGUCGGCUACCGCGUCACCUGACACAAGUCGGCGGUCUGCUGUUAGCCGCGUGUGGCAGCGGCUGCAGGAGGUGGAGGAGGAAGUGCGCCUUCGCGGGAUAUUGGCGCAACUGCCAGAUGUGCUCCUUGACGCUGAGGCUGUACCCCCAUGCAAUAGCAGUGCCACGAGCACAGCGGAUGGGGAGCGCAAGUUGCGCGAUGCACAGGCGCGGGAGACGGCGCUGCAGAAAAGGAUCGAAGAGCAGCAGUGCCGCAUCGCAUGGCUGGAGCGGGAGAUGAAGGGUCGCGCAAACGGCCGCGAAUCAUCAGAAGCGUCCGCCGACGACACAGCGGAGGUGGCAGCGCUGAGGAGGAAGCUGAUGAUGCACGAGAAGGAUCGGCAUGCCAUCCGCACCAUCCUGGAGCACCGGAUGAAGAGCAAGAUUAAUCGCAUCUGUGAGCUGCUACAGCUCACCCACGCCGACGCUGCCGACGGCAAAGAUGGGGCCAGCAAGCUGAGCAGCGAGGCGCUCAGUCUGCAGGGACUCAUUCACGCCGCUAUCAAGGCGAUGGAUGCAGAGGUUUAGCGCACUCGCACCCUCUCUCUCUCACUCGGUGACUGUAGCCGGUCUCCCUCGUGUGUGUCUGAAGCGAUGCGGUGAUGAGGGGCAUUGAAGGGCCCUUUCCCCCCCCCUCUGGGUGUUGGUGUGCGUGUUGCCUCACGGUGGCCUUUAUCUUCGUGUGCUUCCUCCCCCCCCCUGCUCACGAUGCCGCAUUCAAACGGCGCGACGCCAGGAGCCGACAUCUACAUAUAUAGAUAUGUGUGUUUGUGUAUGCGUGCGUGUGUCUCAGCCAGUGGGAGACGCAAAGGUGUCAGCACCGAUGCAAGCCUGGGCAAAGCCGGGAAAGAGGCGCCUCCUCCCCGCCCACCGCCGUCUCGGACUUUGUGGUGGCGGGCGCUACGCCCUUGCUCUCGCUGCCGCAGCUGCUUUUCAUGCCCCCCCCCUCCUCCUUUCCUCCCUCGACUCUCCCAUCACAG
rnacentral:misc_RNA from 1 species